rnacentral:rRNA from 1 species
GAUGAACGCUGGCUACAGGCUUAACACAUGCAAGUCGAGGGGAAACGACGGGGAAGCUUGCUUCCCCGGGCGUCGACCGGCGCACGGGUGAGUAACGCGUAUCCAACCUGCCUCUGACUGAGGGAUAACCCGUCGAAAGUCGGCCUAAUACCUCAUGGUAUCGUCUGCGGGCAUCCAACGACGAUUAAAGAUUUCAUCGGUCAGGGAUGGGGAUGCGUCUGAUUAGCUUGUUGGCGGGGUAACGGCCCACCAAGGCUACGAUCAGUAGGGGUUCUGAGAGGAAGGUCCCCCACAGUGGAACUGAGACACGGUCCAAACUCCUACGGGAGGCAGCAGUGAGGAAUAUUGGUCAAUGGGCGAGAGCCUGAACCAGCCAAGUAGCGUGCAGGAAGACGGCCCUAGGGGUUGUAAACUGCUUUUAGGCGGGGAUAAAGUGAGGGACGUGUCCCUCAUUGCAGGUACCGCAUGAAUAAGGACCGGCUAAUUCCGUG